rnacentral:rRNA from 1 species
GCUCAACCGGGGAGGGUCAUUGGAAACUGGGAAACUUGAGUGCAGAAGAGGAGAGUGGAAUUCCACGUGUAGCGGUGAAAUGCGUAGAGAUGUGGAGGAACACCAGUGGCGAAGGCGACUCUCUGGUCUGUAACUGACGCUGAGGAGCGAAAGCGUGGGGAGCGAACAGGAUUAGAUACCCUGGUAGUCCACGCCGUAAACGAUGAGUGCUAAGUGUUAGGGGGUUUCCGCCCCUUAGUGCUGCAGCUAAUGCAUUAAGCACUCCGCCUGGGGAGUACGGUCGCAAGACUGAAACUCAAAGGAAUUGACGGGGGCCCGCACAAGCGGUGGAGCAUGUGGUUUAAUUCGAAGCAACGCGAAGAACCUUACCAGGUCUUGACAUCCUCUGACAACCCUAGAGAUAGGGCUUUCCCUUCGGGGACAGAGUGACAGGUGGUGCAUGGUUGUCGUCAGCUCGUGUCGUGAGAUGUUGGGUUAAGUCCCGCAACGAGCGCAACCCUUGAUCUUAGUUGCCAGCAUUUAGUUGGGCACUCUAAGGUGACUGCCGGUGACAAACCGGAGGAAGGUGGGUAUGACGUCAAAUCAUCAUGCCCCUUAUGACCUGGGCUACACACGUGCUACAAUGGACAGAACAAAG